AAAAAACUCACACAAAUAACCAUAGAAUUUAAAAAUUUUACAUAAAUAAUCCCUUAAAGCUAUUUCUAUCAUAAUUAACCAAACAUGAUUUUUUUGGAUCAAGUUACCCUCCUCAUUUGCACAAUCAAAAACUCUUCCUUACUGAACCAAAAUGAUUUUCUCUCUUGAAAUAUCAACGACAACAACAACAUUGACGCAAGAUGGCGAACGACAACAACAACUAAGGCGAUGACAAAAUUUGAUGAUAAACUUAAAUCUGCCAAAUCCACUCGAAUCCAAAACUAAUCCAAUAAAUUGAAAACAAGCCAAACCUUAGGUGAGCUAACUUCAUCAUCUUUUAAUGAUUUGAAUGAGUGUGAAUGGAUUGUAGAUGAUUAUAAGUUGUUAGAGGAUUAUAAUGAAAAGAAAUUUUAUUAAAAUGAUUAGUUACAACUAUUCCACAUUAAAUGUUUGAUAAAAUGCCUACUAAAUUUUGUUUGUGCUUAAUUUUUGUGCAUGAAGGUGGGACAAGGUGUUUGCUAUGUUGUGUUGUGUUGUAUUUGGCUAUUUAAUCAAAUGCGAUCAGUUGUGACAGGUUGCUUAUCGCACCAAAUCCUAUCACACCAAUUUGGUGCAACAAUGCGACAAUUAUUUUCAGAAGUUUUUUUUUUCCAAAUGGUUUUUACUUGUUAUAAAUAUAAUAUAACAAUUUAAUAGUGUAAUUUGUAACAUAUACAUGGUGAAAUCCAAAAUAGCAAAGUAUAAUACACCCAAACCAAGGAAGGAGCUAGGUAUAAUAAAGGUAACUUAUUAAGAGUAACGUUGCUCUUAGAACGCUAUUUAGUGGUAUCACCUCUUCUCCAACAUUUGCUAACGUAAUAUCGUUGUCAUCAAGUAGUAGAGUGGAGAGUAAUGUUGCUGCAACGACAUCAUUUGUGAUAGCACAUCUUUUUGAAUAUAAGAGAGAGAGAGACAUUUACUCUAAAAGAAGUUUGAGUUUCUACCAUCACAAGAUAUUGGUUCAGAACUCGAUGAGAUGUACUAACAAAUAUAGGGAUGCACCUAUAGUUGACCACAUCAAAGCCCAAAUAUAAUACAACUUUGACCAUUUAGUCAUUAAAUAUGUCCAUAGAUAGUGAACAUGCAUGAUAGAUGGAAUAACUAGACCUCAAAGAUAUCUUCAUCGCAGUACUAUAUUCAUUAGGAUUUAUUUUUAAAAUCUCGUACACUCUUGCAAAAAACUAAUUAAAUAUAUAAUCUUUCCAAACAAAGAAAGCUAUAUUCUUGCUACUCAUUCACUUCAUAAGCCAUCUGUCAACAUGUCCCAUGAACCAUCAGAACGCAUUUAAAGCACGAUUGAAUCUAUUAAGCCUGAUUUUUUUUUAAAUAUAUAAUUACACUCUACAAAAUGUGAUGUUGUGAAUAUACAACACAUUUUAUGUGACUGUCAUACAUACUGUGAUUAUAUGUGACAAACAAAUUUAUGAGUGAUAGGCAGGGGGAUAUACGUUUGUCACAUAUAAGUAGUAUUAUAUUAUGUGCGACAAACACCUAUUGUACUGCUUGUCAUACAUAAAUUUGUAUGUUGCACCAAAUCUGGGUUUUGUUUGUAACUUGAACUUUUAACAUUUAAUAAAGUUUUUUUUUUAAUUUUUCAAGUCAAACUAAGUGCUUUAAAAAAUUACAUUAUUUUAUGAAUGAAAAUAACAAUAUUUACAAUAAAAGCUACAUCAAUUUUGAACCUAAACCCUAAACUUAAUACAUUAAAAGCUCAUAUAUAUAAGAACAUACAAUAACCUUAAGAAGCUUUCUAAUUGAUGAUUAUAUCUCCAGUUAUGCAAUAUUAUAUUUAUUUGAUGAGGUUUUGUUAUUUGUUGAGACUAUUAAGAGUGUUGAGGCGCUGAGAUUUAAUGAAUUGGUAAGAGUUGUAUUAGUUUGGUAAUUUAUUGAAAGUGAUGAAGACUAUUUGGUCUAAAAAACUAAUAUUUCUAAUACAUACACACAAUGAUGAGAAUGUCACUAAAAUAUAAAAAAAAAUCAAUAUAUAUAUAUAAAUUGGAUUUUUUUUAUCUAUUAGUAUAUUAAAAUCUUUUUUUUUUACUAGCAUCUUUACUUUAACAUUAGAGAAUGAUUAUAUAAAUGUAUGUAUGUGUGUGUGUGUGUGUGUGUGUGUGUGUGUGUGUGUAUUGUCCUUCUCUUAUACGAACGCCCUUACUUUUCUUAUGCAGACAUGUUAUUAACAAAGUUAGUAUUCAAUUCACUAUUUAACCAUCAAUUAACUAUAAAACCUUAUACCUUAGGACCAAUUUGUUAAUAUCAUAGUUUUUAAAAUAAUUACUAUUAGCUAUACUAUAGAAAUAAUUAGUUGUGAAGAAAAAUCAGUUAAAUGUUUGGUAAAGUUACUUGUAAAGGUGCUGU
rnacentral:lncRNA from 1 species